CAGCUUGCAGUGCGCGCCGGCAUAGCGCACGUGCGCAAGCGUCACACAUCACGGACACCCAGAAAUUCGCUUAGUUAGUCCCCAGACUCUGUGCCACUCGCACGCAUGGAGCUCUAGCAUUUCCCGCGCACGGUAGUGAUAACUGACAACCGGUGAUGCCCGCAUAUCGGAUCUAGUGCUUAUCAAACUCCUUCUACUACCACGAGUGCCAACCUUUAUAUAUAGGGAGCCGCGCCGAUGUGUUCGCUGGGAGAGUCGGGCCGCUGAGGCCCGCACGGGCUGAUGGCGGCCCCGGGUGUGCUCGCGCUGCUGGCGGCCGCCGCGCUGGCCGCACUGGCCGCGCUGGCGCAGCCGGCGCUCGCCGCGCGCUUCGGGGACCGACUCGCGCCGCGCGUGCCCGCCUACACGCCGCGCCACGCGCUCCACGACCGUCACGUCUCAAGUGCCGACUAUGAGGAGUACGACCAGGAGUAUGAAGAACAAGCCUCCUUCGAAGAUCGUGAGGCUCCAUCGGAAACGGAGCCUCCACCUCGACGACCAGCCCGUACCGAGGCUCACCGUCUGGAAAUGAGCACUGAAUACUUUGUAGCGCCCCAAAGAACUUCAUCGACGCCCCCGCCGCCGACUCCGUCGCGGCCUUUCGUAUCUACAACCACACACCGUCCAUUAAAUACAACAGUGGUUGUACAAACGGCGCGUAUAUCGAUGGGAGCUUUAAGGCAGGAAUCAUGGGCGGUCCCAAUUUUGGCUCUGGCCUGCGUGUGUAUGGCAAUGAUCGCCGCUUUCGAAGCAUUUGUCGUAUGGGGCGCGAGCCGCACGGCGCCUAGCCGCCGUCACCUACUCUUGGGUCAAACGCUGCUAUUCGGUUUGUUCACCUGCGCCGCUUCAGCCGCACUGUACGUCGCCACUCCCACUGUAUUCACUUGCGGUGCCGUGCGUUUCGGAACUGGAGUCGCAUACGUAAUAGUAUUCGCGUCUUUACUCGUGAAGUGUGUUUUUUUGCUAAGCUUGAACGGUGGUGUGUAUCUGCCGGCCGCUUACCAAGGACUUUUGUUAUUUUUCGCGGUAAUGAUUCAAGUGGCCAUCGGCGCCCAGUGGCUAGGCGGAUCGCCACCGCGAGUGAUGGCCGGCGCGGGCAGAUGUGACACACAGUUAUCGGACUUGUUGAUGUCGUUGUGCUACGCGGCGUUCCUGAUCGCCGUGGUGUGCGGCGUGGCGCUACGGUCGCGCGGCAUCCGCGACAACUACCGCGAGGCGACGCACAUCGCGGGCGCAGGCGGCGCGACGGCCGCGGUGUGGGUGUGCUGGGUGGCGGCGGCGCUGGGCGCCCCCGAGCGGCACCGCGACGCGUGCGUGGCGGCGGGGCUGCUGGCGACGUGCGCGGUGGUGUUCGCGCUGAUGUUCGCGCCGAAGGGUCGUCGGCUGGCGGCGCUGGGCCGCGAGGGCCGCUGGGACGCGGACCGCGACGAGGGCCUGAGCUCGCUGGGCGCCGGCGGCUCGGGGUACUCGCCCUCCUUCUUCCACUUCAAGCCCGUGAAGUACGGCAUGGUGUCGGCCGCGGCGCCGCUGCCCGCGCCGCCGCCCGUGCUAGAUCGCAAGGAGCCGCCCGCUCAGCCAGCCGAUUUGUACGGAGCGAUGUUCGCGAGCUCGCCGCACAUGCAUGCGCGCCCUCUGUGCCCCCCACCGCACUACCCCCUGCACCCUCUAAUGCACUACCACUACCCGCCUUAUCACUACAUGUUGCCGCCAGGCAUGAUGGUGCGCGAGGAGGGCAACGUGUACACGACCGUGGAGCCCACCUUCAGCAGCAACCCCAACGUAUUCUUCCAGCGCACGGAGCCGUUGCAUGCCGGCAUGAUGUACUGAGCAUCUGACAAACCAGCGUUCCGCCGCGAACAUGGAUUUGACAGCACCGCCUAGCGACCAGCCUCGUUUUACUACCACGUCUAUUUAGGACCAAGAUUUUGUUAAUCUGCCCGAAGUGUGUUAAGGUAGCGAAUAAUAGACUGUCAAUCUCUAUUCGUUAUGUUCCUCCGAAAUAAGAGUUUCAUUAGAUAUAUUAAUUAUAGUAGGUAUAAGCGAGGUCUCAGUAACGUAACGCCAUCUAGUGAAACUCUUCUUCGUAGAAAAUCAACUUGGUAUAAAGAUUGCAAAUCUACGAGCACAGUGGAAUUCUGUAAGUGAUGUAUGGCGCCUAACUGGAACCAUUAUUGCUUAAAAAUCGGGACAGAACCAUAAUGUUACGAAGAUAUAAAUUAGUUUGCCGAUAAGAAAUAGUAUGUCUUGUAAAGCGGCCGCCAUUUGGUAAUUCCGCCCAAGGUAUUAUCCCGGUGGAACAGUUCUACAUAAACUCAUUAUAAUAAGGAUAAAUUGUCCGAAAAACGAUGCUGAAAAACUGCUGUUACUGUAUAAAGUUGGAAAAAAAAAUCUAUUCCUUAGUUUUAUUAGUACGCUAGGAAUCCGUAGGCAGACCGAACAUUUAACUUCACAUGUAUCCUAUUAAAUGAAUUAAUUAUUAAUGCAAUCAAUACGUUCUACUUGUUCUCCUUCUGUGUACUUCUUCAGUGGAUUGAUAUUUUUAUCAAAUUAUUUGAUUUUGGACUUUCAUUUAGGUGUAAAUGUGUUUUUUGUUUAGCCCUUUCGGCAAAUCAAAAUGUUGCUGCCUAUGUCCACAAGAAUUAUCAUGAUGCUGAGGGUGUGAAGGCUUCUAAUGUAAUUAUAGUAAUUCUUUACAUAAAUAUAUGCCUACUUUAUGCAGUAUGAAGCAGUAUAUCUAAUACUCGAAUUUUGUAAAUAUAAGUCGAAUAUUAAAAGAUAGUGGAAACGAGGUUUGUGAUUUUACGUGUACUUAACCCACCCUGGAAAACUGAAUCAGCUGAUUUCUGAAUAGGUUAAAUAUUUUAAGAUACUAUUAGGUUUACUAAUGUAAGCUCUCUUUUAUAGUAAUGUGUAAAUAAAACUUCUGAAGACUG